rnacentral:rRNA from 1 species
GGUGAACGCUGGCGGCGUGCCUAAUACAUGCAAGUCGAGCGAACAGACGAGGAGCUUGCUCCUCUGACGUUAGCGGCGGAAGGGUGAGUAACACGUGGAUAACCUGCCUAUAAGACUGGGAUAACUUCGGGAAACCGGAGCUAAUACCGGAUAAUAUAUUGAACCGCAUGGUUCAAUAGUGAAAGACGGUUUUGCUGUCACUUAUAGAUGGAUCCGCGCCGCAUUAGCUAGUUGGUAAGGUAACGGCUUACCAAGGCGACGAUGCGUAGCCGACCUGAGAGGGUGAUCGGCCACACUGGAACUGAGACACGGUCCAGACUCCUACGGGAGGCAGCAGUAGGGAAUCUUCCGCAAUGGGCGAAAGCCUGACGGAGCAACGCCGCGUGAGUGAUGAAGGUCUUCGGAUCGUAAAACUCUGUUAUUAGGGAAGAACAAAUGUGUAAGUAACUAUGCACGUCUUGACGGUACCUAAUCAGAAAGCCACGGCUAACUACGUG